AAGUUCGCUUGAAGCACGUGUUUUCCAGUAAUGACGUUGGGAAAGCAGUCUUGACAACUUCCUUAAACGUUUGUUCAAGUACAUAAUGUAUUUAACUUAAGUUUUGUGCGCUUUCGUUGACAAAAAUAGGAUAUAACAUCACGGAUUUACAGAUCUUGUCAGUCACCAUGGUGUAGGGGUGACUUAUGAAUUGUGAAUUUUUGAAGAACCCAUCCAAUAAAGUGUGAGGUUGCUACUAUUUGUGACUUAUGAUCAACAGUCAAGAUGAGGACAACAGGGCAGCUUCUCUUCAUGUCUUUCUACUUUACAGUGCUUCAGACAAUCCCUGCUCCUGUCAACUUUACAAUAUUGUCACACAAUUUCAAGCACAUUUUGCAGUGGAGCC